rnacentral:rRNA from 1 species
UACAUGGGGUGCAAACGUUGCUCGGAAUCACUGGGCGUAAAGCGCACGUAGGCGGCUUUUAAGUCAGGGGUGAAAUCCUGGAGCUCAACUCCAGAACUGCCUUUGAUACUGAGAAGCUUGAGUCCGGGAGAGGUGAGUGGAACUGCGAGUGUAGAGGUGAAAUUCGUAGAUAUUCGCAAGAACACCAGUGGCGAAGGCGGCUCACUGGCCCGGUACUGACGCUGAGGUGCGAAAGCGUGGGGAGCAAACAGG